rnacentral:tRNA from 1 species
CGGGCUAUGGCGCAGUCUGGUAGCGCGCACGUCUGGGGGACGUGAGGUCGCUGGUUCGAGUCCAGUUAGCCCGACCA